rnacentral:rRNA from 1 species
AUGGAAGGGGUAGCUGGGUUGAUGAGGGGUCUGAAGCUUUCGGAUGAGGAGAGGAAGGGAGCCAGGAUCAGGAUCUCGGGGAAGGAGAAGGGGAAAGCCGCGACGGCACAGGCGGUAGGCAAGGUGAUGUCGGAGAGGUUAGCGCAUCCGGAUGCGAUCUGUCUCACGCUGGGGAAGAUCUGGUGCCCGAUCAAGGGGACCGAUUGCAAGGAGAUAGGGGUGAACCAAUUCUUGUUCACGUUCCAUCAAGAGACGGGGAAGAGGAAGGCGCUCGAUAAUGGCCCCUGGAUGUUCGACAAGGACCUGGUGGUGAUAGAAGAUUAUGAUCCUAGUAAAAGGCCGGAGGAUUACCAGUUUAAUAAUAUCCCGAUCUGGGCUAGGGUUUUAACCUACCCCUUGGUAUGA